rnacentral:rRNA from 1 species
UACGGGGGGGGGCAAGCGUUGUUCGGAAUUACUGGGCGUAAAGGGUUUGUAGGUGGCUUGCUAAGUCAGACGUGAAAUCCCUCAGCUUAACUGGGGAACUGCGUCUGAGACUGGUGAGCUUGAGUGCAGGAGAGGAACGCGGAAUUCCAGGUGUAGCGGUGAAAUGCGUAGAUAUCUGGAGGAACACCGGUGGCGAAGGCGGCGUUCUGGACUGCAACUGACACUGAGGAACGAAAGCCAGGGGAGCAAACGGG